rnacentral:hammerhead_ribozyme from 1 species
GUCCAGCUGACGAGUCCCUAAUAGGACGAAAUGCGAGUCCUGGAU